UACGUAGGGUCCGAGCGUUGUCCGGAUUUAUUGGGCGUAAAGAGCUCGUAGGCGGCUCAGUUAGUCGGAUGUGAAAACUCGGGGCUCAACCCCGAGACGCCAUCCGAUACUGCUGUGGCUUGAAUCUGGUAGGGGAGCACGGAAUUCCUGGUGUAGCGGUGAAAUGCGCAGAUAUCAGGAGGAACACCGGCGGCGAAGGCGGUGCUCUGGGCCAGUAUUGACGCUGAGGAGCGAAAGCGUGGGUAGCAAACAGG
rnacentral:rRNA from 1 species